AGCGAACGCUGGCGGCAGGCCUAACACAUGCAAGUCGAACGAAGUCUUCGGACUUAGUGGCGGACGGGUGAGUAACACGUGGGAACGUGCCUUUAGGUUCGGAAUAACUCAGGGAAACUUGUGCUAAUACCGAAUGUGCCCUUCGGGGGAAAGAUUUAUCGCCUUUAGAGCGGCCCGCGUCUGAUUAGCUAGUUGGUGAGGUAAAGGCUCACCAAGGCUACGAUAAGUAGCUGGUCUGAGAGGAUGACCAGCCACAUUGGGACUGAGACACGGCCCAAACUCCUACGGGAGGCAGCAGUGGGGAAUCUUGCGCAAUGGGCGAAAGCCUGACGCAGCCAUGCCGCGUGGAUGAUGAAGGUCUUAGGAUUGUAAAAUCCUUCCACCGGUGAAGAUAAUGACUGUAGCCGGAGAAGAAGCCCCGGCUAACUUCGUGCCAGCAGCCGCCGUAAUAC
rnacentral:rRNA from 1 species